AAAUUGAAGAGUUUGAUCAUGGCUCAGAUUGAACGCUGGCGGCAGGCCUAACACAUGCAAGUCGAACGGUAACAGAAAGCAGCUUGCUGCUUUGCUGACGAGUGGCGGACGGGUGAGUAAUGUCUGGGAAACUGCCCGAUGGAGGGGGAUAACUACUGGAAACGGUAGCUAAUACCGCAUAACGUCGCAAGACCAAAGAGGGGGACCUUAGGGCCUCUUGCCAUCGGAUGUGCCCAGAUGGGAUUAGCUAGUAGGUGGGGUAAAGGCUCACCUAGGCGACGAUCCCUAGCUGGUCUGAGAGGAUGACCAGCCACACUGGAACUGAGACACGGUCCAGACUCCUACGGGAGGCAGCAGUGGGGAAUAUUGCACAAUGGGCGCAAGCCUGAUGCAGCCAUGCCGCGUGUAUGAAGAAGGCCUUCGGGUUGUAAAGUACUUUCAGCGGGGAGGAAGGGAGUAAAGUUAAUACCUUUGCUCAUUGACGUUACCCGCAGAAGAAGCACCGGCUAACUCCGUGCCAGCAGCCGCGGUAAUACGGAGGGUGCAAGCGUUAAUCGGAAUUACUGGGCGUAAAGCGCACGCAGGCGGUUUGUUAAGUCAGAUGUGAAAUCCCCGGGCUCAACCUGGGAACUGCAUCUGAUACUGGCAAGCUUGAGUCUCGUAGAGGGGGGUAGAAUUCCAGGUGUAGCGGUGAAAUGCGUAGAGAUCUGGAGGAAUACCGGUGGCGAAGGCGGCCCCCUGGACGAAGACUGACGCUCAGGUGCGAAAGCGUGGGGAGCAAACAGGAUUAGAUACCCUGGUAGUCCACGCCGUAAACGAUGUCGACUUGGAGGUUGUGCCCUUGAGGCGUGGCUUCCGGAGCUAACGCGUUAAGUCGACCGCCUGGGGAGUACGGCCGCAAGGUUAAAACUCAAAUGAAUUGACGGGGGCCCGCACAAGCGGUGGAGCAUGUGGUUUAAUUCGAUGCAACGCGAAGAACCUUACCUGGUCUUGACAUCCACGGAAGUUUUCAGAGAUGAGAAUGUGCCUUCGGGAACCGUGAGACAGGUGCUGCAUGGCUGUCGUCAGCUCGUGUUGUGAAAUGUUGGGUUAAGUCCCGCAACGAGCGCAACCCUUAUCCUUUGUUGCCAGCGGUCCGGCCGGGAACUCAAAGGAGACUGCCAGUGAUAAACUGGAGGAAGGUGGGGAUGACGUCAAGUCAUCAUGGCCCUUACGACCAGGGCUACACACGUGCUACAAUGGCGCAUACAAAGAGAAGCGACCUCGCGAGAGCAAGCGGACCUCAUAAAGUGCGUCGUAGUCCGGAUUGGAGUCUGCAACUCGACUCCAUGAAGUCGGAAUCGCUAGUAAUCGUGGAUCAGAAUGCCACGGUGAAUACGUUCCCGGGCCUUGUACACACCGCCCGUCACACCAUGGGAGUGGGUUGCAAAAGAAGUAGGUAGCUUAACCUUCGGGAGGGCGCUUACCACUUUGUGAUUCAUGACUGGGGUGAAGUCGUAACAAGGUAACCGUAGGGGAACCUGCGGUUGGAUCACCUCCUUA
rnacentral:rRNA from 4 species